rnacentral:lncRNA from 1 species
CUUCCUUCUCUCAGCCCUCAGGUCCCGAGAGCCCCGGCCCAGAGCGGCCUCUGCUGGACAGUCAAGACACGAGACCCUGGGUUCAGCAAAUGUUUGCAGCGCCUUGCACUGUGCUGGGAACUAGGGAUGCAAAGAAAUGAGUUCCCUCGGAGAACCGGCACAUGUUCCAAGAAUGAGGACCUUCUUCAUUUGUCAAAACACUUCUGCGUGUACAUCAUUAAACCCUCAUCCACAUUAAACCCGGCUGAGCUUCCUGGGGCCCGAACCAGGAUGUCUGCCGCUGCAUUCAGCUUCUUACUAGAAGAAAAUACUGUCGGGGGGAUAACUAAGCCAGACACCCUACUAGGCGUUGUUUCAUGAAUCCUUCUAAGAAUUAUUAUUAUUCCAUUUUACAGGUGAGAAAAUGAAGGCACAGAGAAGACAAUGUUCUCAAGGUCGCAUAACUGGUCUUUGGAUCAACUCUUUCAACCAAUUGCCAGUUGGAAAAUCUUUGAAUUCACCUAUGACCUGGAAGCUCCUAGUUUGAGUUGUCCUGCUUUUCCGGACCAAAACAAUGUACGUCUUACAUGUAUUGACUGAUGUCUUCUGUCUCCCUAAAACAUAUGAAACCAAGUCGUGUCCUGAACUACUUUGGGCACAUGCUCUCAGGAUCUCCUGAGGCUGUGUCAUGGACAUGUCCCUAACCUUGGCAAAAUAAACUUCUAAACUGAUGAA